UGCAGCGGUGUCAAAUUUGGUGCUUGCCCUGGCUGUGUAGGCACUGACCCAGAACGCUGCCACAGAAACACUGACUCAUGGGCCCUGUUCCUGUGUCUCGGGCUCAGGAAUAAAUUUGGUUACAGACACCA
ensembl:snoRNA